GGUUGACCUCGAAUCAGGUAGGACUACCCGCUGAACUUAAGCAUAUCAAUAAGCGGAGGA
rnacentral:rRNA from 3 species